rnacentral:rRNA from 1 species
GAUGAACGCUAGCGGCAGGCUUAACACAUGCAAGUCGAGGGGUAUAGUUCUUCGGAGCUAGAGACCGGCGCACGGGUGCGUAACGCGUAUGCAAUCUACCUUUUGCAGAGGGAUAGCCCAGAGAAAUUUGGAUUAAUACCUCAUGGUAUGUGAGAAUGGCAUCAUUAUCACAUUAAAGUCACAACGGCAAAAGAUGGGCAUGCGUCCCAUUAGCUAGUUGGUAAGGUAACGGCUUAGCAAGGCAACGAUGGGUAGGGGUCCUGAGAGGGAGAUCCCCCACACUGGUACUGAGACACGGACCAGACUCCUACGGGAGGCAGCAGUGAGGAAUAUUGGACAAUGGGCGCAAGCCUGAUCCAGCCACGCCGCGUGCAGGAUGACGGUCCUAUGGAUUGUAAACUGCUUUUAUAUAGGAAGAAACAGACCUUGCGAGGUAAAUUGGCGGUACUAUAUGAAUAAGCACCGGCUAACUCCGUGCCAGCAGCCGCGGUAACAC